GCCACUCUGGUUGGCUGCGACUCGUACUCACUAUCCACCCCAUUUUAAACUUGGUCCGGCCGGGCGUCUCCCUUUUUCCGCCGCGGCGUGCUCCUGGUGCUGUGUGUAAUGCCCAGGGUGUUAAUGAGCACAAGCCCUGGUGCUUGAGAUGAACAAGUACAACUUCGAGAAGAAAAGGGAAAUGGCGGUGAAAUUACCUGACGGUGAGUAAAUCAGAUGUUCCUGACAGUUUGCUCAGGUCUGCCAUCACCUGCCAGCUGACCUAGCCUGCUUUGAGCACCCGUCUCCAACCCUGCUCAUUUAGAAAAGACGCCCCCUCACACACACAGACAUCAUGCAGUGUUGCAAAAGUAGCCCUGUAGUGUGUCCACGGCGCUGCCUGAACUUGACCUGAGCAGAUAGCCCCUAGGAAAUAGAAACGCCCCCCCCCCCCCGACUUUUUCAGGAAUUGUGAGGCCUGUUUCCCAUUCCUCACACUGGCCCCUUCCAGGUGACAUCAUAAUCACACCCUGAUUACAUCAGGCACAGACCCCUCCUGGGGGCCUGGCUGGGGCUUCUGUUUUGCCCAUUAAAAGAAAAAAAAUUACCCACAAAGGAAGAAUCUGCUCUAAACCUUCAAAGGCCCUGGAUAACUCACAGCUCUCCCCAGCCAAGAUACUGUUCCCUGCAGCCCUGCAGUUGGUGCCCAAUAAACUAUUUCCUUGUCUGUGGA